UACAGAGGUCUCGAGCGUUGUUCGGAUUCAUUGGGCGUAAAGGGUGCGUAGGCUGCGGGGCAAGUCUGAUGUGAAAUCCCGGGGCUCAACCCCGGAACUGCAUUGGAUACUGCCUUGCUAGAGUACUGGAGAGGAGACUGGAAUUUACGGUGUAGCAGUGAAAUGCGUAGAGAUCGUAAGGAAGACCAGUGGCGAAGGCGAGUCUCUGGACAGUUCCUGACACUGAGACACGAAGGCCAGGGGAGCAAACGGG
rnacentral:rRNA from 1 species